rnacentral:lncRNA from 1 species
UGUUUAUACCACGUGUUAAGAAUAUUUACAUGAGAGAACUGGAAGACUGAAUUCUUACGUAGGUGAGCAUUAGCAAUCACCUAAUGCCUAUCAGAAAUAUCUUAAAUUGACUUUAAAUGGCAAGUGGGUGGUAAAAUUUUUUGUUUAAAGUCAAGAUUUUACUUCAGAAGACACUGUAUUUUCUUCAGACUGUUCUCUAAUACCUGUUGGUAUUCUCAGAUAGCUGCAGUAUUCAGUUAUGAGCAAAAAGAUCUUUUAACGUGUGUGGGAUAAUUCUACAUGCUUUCUUAGAAGUUUUUGGUAUGUCGAGUAUUAUCCUAUACUAAGCCUGCAACUUUUAGGGCUGAAAAGGGUUCUGAGUCUAGAAUUGAAAGGUUCGGUCCCAGGCAUUAAACGUAUAAUGGGAAAUAAUUCAUCAGGAUGUAUUGCUUUGAUUCAAGGAAUGCUGGAGUGCGUGUGUAAUGUAAGCAUGGACGUUUAUGAAAACUGCCUCAAGUUACACAUGAACGUGGGAGCUUUACUGGAUCAAAGUCUGUGCAUUUGAUUGCAGAUAAUCAGGUUUUAAUAAGGUUCCUUCAGGUGGCUUCAAUUUGGACUUAAAAUUUCAUCGUCAGAAACAAUAACCUGAUGGCGGUUCACUGUAAAGGUCGUGCAAGCUCCAAUUCUCAGAGAGUUGCCACUCGGUGGGCACCUUUCGCAAACAGUAUAAUUAUUGCAAGUGGUCAUAUCUGUGGGGGAAAGGUCACUGGUACUUUGGUUAUUUAGCCAUAUUCAUUGAAACUAUAUAAAUUGUAUAGUUUGGAUAAUUUAUAAUAUUAAACUCUGUGAUUUUUUUAAUAUCACGUUGAAGGUUCAGCUGUACUCAUUUCUUUUACCGUUUAACACCGGUGGUAUGGACAGAAGACUCAGAGGGGGUGGUAGUGUUACUAUUUUCUUAAUUUAUUUGGUACUGUAUAACACCUUUCUGAUUAAAUGCAGCGUAUGCAUUUUGGGACUCUGUUAAUUUGUAAAAGCUGUUACAGGUUCAGCAAGAAAGGAAAUUUGUGCUUCCUUGUUGAAUGUUAAAUUAUUUUACUUUGCAUUUUAUAUGAGAGUACAAAUUAAAACUGAGCCAUCAAACUGCAAUAAAUCAACAGUAGUGUUUCAUUUUAAAAACUUUUUUGUACUGUACAUAGAUUUGUUCAAUAAAACGUUGUCUUUGUUGUU